AAUUGGUGGGGGCUACACUCCAUGAAUUCCCAUUCACAUCCCAAAAUUUAAAAACUCCAUUAAAAUUUAACUUAGUCUGAAUACCAUUUUUUUUUAAUGUUUUUUCAUAAAAAUCGGAUAUGCCCUAGCUAUCAACGCAUUCCAUGAUGCAAUAUCUCACUCUUCCGACAUUUCGUCAAACACCUCUUUGCACUAUCAAGAAGAUCGCUUUAGUUCUUUAAGAACUUUCUGAUGCGGAAAUCCUCCUCUCAUGUUCUACCAUAAAAGAUGUCAUCAUAAGAUAUCAAAUCACUUCCAGUGAAGCUAUUAGAUAGGCCCAGAGAGAGAUCUAUGCGCUCAGAUCUGAGUACUGCAAUUGGUUCGGCUGAAUGAAUAGAAUCUGGGGAGGCUGGUACGACAUCGAAAGCUACUCCACCUCGAUUAAGAUAACUAGAACUCCUAAUGUCUGAAGGAGAACUUCCAAUGGUUGGAAAAGACGAAGCGCCUGUUCCUCUUUCUCCCAGAAAGCAUCCGCAUGUUUUUGCUUGAAAUGGAAGGACGGCGGCAUUGAAAUGGAAGGGCUGGAAGCUGUGUUUACCGUUGUUUGAUGAGGGGGAGAGAGGUGAGGAAAUGGGAAAAAAAACAGAGAGGAGAGGAAAGAGAAGGUGAAGGAGGGAAUGAUAAUAAAUUGGCACGCGAGGUGUUUUAUAGACUAUGAUAUUUUGUGUUUUUUGGGAUGCAAUGAAAAUCCAUUGAGUACAAUUAGCUUCCACCAAAAAAUUGGGUUAUUCUAUUUCUACAUUUCUAACCGUGGAAUUUUCCCUGUAUUUUGUUUUUAUUUUUUUUGAAAACCAAAUACUCGAAUGCCAGUUUAUUUUUGCUAUUGGUUUUUGUCGUGUCCUCUUUCUUUUGGUCAAUCUUAGCAUAUUUUCUUUUGUGUUCACUAUAAUCUAUCUAUUACUAUCUCUAAAAUUAAAUUGUAAGCCUAGGCGUGAUUUUAUGGCGAGUAGACGUUUCAAUUCUGUGCUCUCGCGUGUGGAUGUAUGUAUCUUCAUAUGGACCAUUGAAUUACUAUCACUCUCAUUUCAUCCUGACCGUUGGAUUAUUGCGUCGAUCUCCCUUGGUUCGUACAGCUGUGCCAGCGAAUGAAUAAGACAAAAAUCUAUCCUCCAUCUUAGAUUCAUGCAUCUGCCUUUUUGCAAAGCUUCUCGCGAAGCUUCUUUGGACAAAGAUCUAUCCUCAUCUUAGAUUCAUGUAUCUGGGUCGUUUCGUAGAUUUCAGGUGCGAUCUCCUCUCUUUCCCCAUCUCUGUCUUUUUUGGCUAUCGCUUCUCGGCCAAUCUUCCACCCGAGACGUAACUCUGAGCUUUCAGGGAUCUACCCUCUUUGCCACCUCCCUUAGCAAGCGAUUAGGGUUCGUUCAUCGUCAUGGUGCUUCUCAGGCUUCUAUUCGGAGGGAUCUUUCCUCUUUGCCACCUCCCUCCUUUCUUCAUCAGGGUGCUUCGCAAGCUUUUGUUCGGUUGAGCUGUCCUAAAGGUGACACUUUUUAUCUUCUCCUUAUCCAUCAAAUUCCCCUUUGCGCCGGAAAACAUAAAAAGAAAAGGGUGAAUUGCCUUUUUAGCUUUGCUUGAUCAGCUUUGAAGGCAUUUCUGCAGUUCUUGAAAUGGAGAGAACUGAGUUUAGCUUGCUAAUUUUAUAGCCUAGAUUGGCAGCAUCUACAUUGUACAUAUCCUAUGUCUGUUCCUGAGGAGCAGUGCCAGUUCCUAUUUCCUUAACCAGUUGGGAUUCAAGUCCAUCUACUGUGUCUGACCCUGCAAUUUCUAAAGGAUUUGUUGGUUGUGGAAGUCCUACAAACUUGGGUAUGAUCUUAGUUUUUUCAUUGUAGUUUUUGGUGGGACUACAGUUAAAUCUUGGUUCCCUAGCACUCCAUAAAUUAUAUGAGUGGUUGCUUAACCUCCUAUUGUCUGUUCAUCGCUGCUACAGAUGGUCUCAAGGCUUCUACUGUAAUAUUUUUUGAAAGACCUCUUAAGAAAAUGGAUGAGCUAGGCUGUAUAACUCAUUUUGAAACUUCACAAAAUUAAGAUUACUAUUACUGUGUGCACUUAUGGUUGUUUUCAAUUUUGUCCUGCAAAUUUUUUAGGUAACACCAACGGUCAAUUUUGAUAAAAUCAUGACAAAUUUCCUAAGAAUAAGAAAGAAAAUGACAUUUUCCAUGAAAAUUGUACAUCAAUGAACAAGCAUCAAGACGCUCACCAGGGUAUUCAGUGAGGUGUCAUCUCCAACGAGCAUGGUUUUUCAUCCUAUUCAGCAAACUGUUCUUCUAGUUGGAACCGGUACCGGGGACGUGGCUUUGUGGGAUAUUAAAUAUGAGGAAAAACUGGUUUCAAGAAAUUUUGACGUUUGGAACGUCAGACCAUGCUCAAUGUCAUUUGAGGUUAACAAUGAUGGAUUGGAAUUUCACGAAGGAACCAAGGAAGCUCAAGUGAGAUGAAGCUAAGACAUCUUACCUUUAAUAUUUUGAACUUAAGUCACCUUUUGGUUAUCUAUUUAUCAGUUUAUAUUGACUUGAGAUUGGCAACGAUGGAUUGGAAUUUCAGGAAGGAACCAAGGAGGCUCAAGUACCAUAGCUGAAUUGGAAGCAAGGAAGCUCAAGUGAGAUUGAAGCUCUCUUUUUUUCCUUGAUGCAUUGCGAGGUUAAAUGUGGCAGUGUUUCUGACAAUGGUUUGAUUUUGUACUCUUUUGACCGACUAUAUAUGGUUUCACUUGCAAUCAAGUAUUUACCGUUAUGAACUAAAAUCAAGUGUUAA